CCCUUAGAUGUCCGGGGCCGCACGCGCGCUACACUGAAGGAAUCAGCGUGGCUUUCUCCCUGACCCGAAAGGGUUGGGAAACCCGUUGAAUCUCCUUCGUGAUAGGGAUUCGGGCUUGAAAUUGUUCCCCAUGAACGAGGAAUUCCCAGUAAGCGCGAGUCAUAAGCUCGCGUUGAUUACGUCCCUGCCCUUUGUACACACCGCCCGUCGCUACUACCGAUUGAACGGUUUAGUGAGGGCCUCGGAUUGGUCUCGGCCCGCUCUUUACCGGGCGGCGCCGUUGGUCGAGAAGACGCUCGAACUUGAUCGUUUAGAGGAAGUAAAAGUCGUAACA
rnacentral:rRNA from 1 species